rnacentral:lncRNA from 1 species
CCAGAGAGCUCCAGCCAGGUAGCGGGUUCGUCUCCGGCGCAAGAAGGCUGUUUAUCCAUAAGAAUCAAAAACUAGAGACAACCCAAAUGUCUAUCAACAAGGAAAUGGAUAUACAAAUCAUGGCAUAUCUGCAAUGAACCACUACUCAGCAAGAAAGAAGAACCAACUACUGAUACAUGCAACAAUUUGGAUGAAUCUCAAAUGCAUUAUACUAAGCAAAA